rnacentral:rRNA from 1 species
AUACGUAGGGUGCAAGCGUUAAUCGGAAUUACUGGGCGUAAAGCGUGCGCAGGCGGUUUUGUAAGACAGUGGUGAAAUCCCCGGGCUCAACCUGGGAACUGCCAUUGUGACUGCAAGGCUGGAGUGCGGCAGAGGGGGAUGGAAUUCCGCGUGUAGCCGUGAAAUGCGUAGAUAUGCGGAGGAACACCGAUGGCGAAGGCAAUCCCCUGGGCCUGCACUGACGCUCAUGCACGAAAGCGUGGGGAGCAAACAGGAUUAGAUACCCUGGUAGUCCACGCCCUAAACGAUGUCAACUGGUUGUUGGGGAUUUAUUUUCUCAGUAACGAAGCUAACGCGUGAAGUUGACCGCCUGGGGAGUACGGCCGCAAGGUUAAAACUCAAAUGAAUUGGCGGGG